AACGAACGCUGGCGGCAUGCCUAACACAUGCAAGUCGAACGAGACCUUCGGGUCUAGUGGCGCACGGGUGCGUAACGCGUGGGAACCUGCCCUUAGGUUCGGAAUAACUCCCCGACAGGGGUGCUAAUACCGGAUAAUGUCUUCGGACCAAAGAUUUAUCGCCUUUGGAUGGGCCCGCGUUGGAUUAGCUAGUUGGUAGGGUAAAAGCCUACCAAGGCGACGAUCCAUAGCUGGUCUGAGAGGAUGAUCAGCCACACUGGGACUGAGACACGGCCCAGACUCCUACGGGAGGCAGCAGUGGGGAAUAUUGGACAAUGGGCGAAAGCCUGAUCCAGCAAUGCCGCGUGAGUGAUGAAGGCCUUAGGGUUGUAAAGCUCUUUUACCCGGGAUGAUAAUAACAGUACCGGGAGAAUAAGCUCCGGCUAACUCCGUG
rnacentral:rRNA from 1 species